UGGGGAAUAUUGCACAAUGGGGGAAACCCUGAUGCAGCGACGCCGCGUGAACGAAGAAGGUAUUCGUAUCGUAAAGUUCUGUCCUAUGGGAAGAUAAUGACAGUAUUAUAUAAGAAAGCUCCGGCUAAAUACGUGCCAGCAGCCGCGGUAAUACGUAUGGAGCAAGCGUUGUCCGGAAUUAUUGGGCGUAAAGGGUACGCAGGCGGUUUAAUAAGUCGAAUGUUAAAGAUUGGUGCUCAACGCCGUAAAGCAUUGGAAACUGAUAAAAUUGAGUAGUGGAGAGGAAAGUGGAAUUCCUAGUGUAGUGGUGAAAUACGUAGAUAUUAGGGGGAAUACCAGUAGCGAAGGCGACUUUCUGGACACAAACUGACGCUGAGGUACGCAAGCGUGGGGAGCAAACAGG
rnacentral:rRNA from 1 species